rnacentral:rRNA from 1 species
CCAACUCCCAUUGAACAAAAUCACAAAUUGACAGCACAGAUGGGUGAACAAGUUAACAAAGCAAAAUAUCAACAAUUGGUUGGCAAACUUCUAUACUUGUGUCACACUAGACCAGAUAUUACAUAUGCAGUAAGUGUAGUAAGUAGAUAUAUGCAUGACCCCAGAAGUGGACACCUUGAUGCAGUCUAUAGAAUCAUGAGGUAUCUAAAGGGCAGCCCUGGUAUGGGACUCUGGUUCAAGAGUAAUGGCCAUUUGAAUGUUGACGGUUAUAGCGAUGCUGAUUGGGCUAGCUGUCUUGAUGAUAGACGAUCAACCUCUGGCUAUUGUGUGUUUGUUGGUGGAAAUUUGGUAUCAUGGAGAAGCAAAAAACAACCGGUG